CCCAUCCCCUUUGGAGCUUGGCUCUGGUAUUCCUACUUGUGAGUUCAAUUCGGAUUCUUUCACUGCGGAGUGGAAUUCUUAACUGAACUUCUUUCACUGUAAACAAUUCUCCCAGAAGCCCCAAUGAUUCAAUAAUUACUGUUUCCAUACGAGACUCAACUUUACUUCCAGCGCUUAUGGCUACUGCUUACUUAUUAACAGCAUUUUAUGUUAGGCCUGGCAAUACUGAAUGCUUCUUUCCCAGAGCUACACUUUACAAGCACUGCUAAUUCUUUAGUAGAGUUGACUUUCCUGGCACAGCUCAUUAUUUAUGGACCUCCUUCUCCCCUACCCUAGUGAGUGCUCUUUCCAGCCCCGAACACAGGACUUGUACAGGUCAGCUAUCUAUCAUCGAAAACACACAGAAAUGGAAUCAAUCUUUCUAGUGGCGAGGAAAACAGUCAAUUCAUAUUUAUUGCCCAUCAAGCAGACAAGCAGACACAAGUCACUGGAGUGGUGAGUUGCCCGUAUAUUAAGUUGCCAGAACUGGAGUGGUUAGUAUAAGACUCCGGCUACUAUACCGUAGUCAACUCAUACUUAUUUAAACAAGCCCAGUACCCAGAGUUAUGAGCAAGUCCUUAAAACGGCAGGGCCGCUAGUUCCCUAUAAACUCACUAUAUAUUAGAAGAGAGCUAUUAAUUCACUCUAAGAGCUAUUAAUUCACUAUAUAUUAUAAGAGAGAUUUCCAAUAUAAUAAACUCUAUGGAUAAAGAAAGGAAUAAGGGAUGGAAUUGCUCUAUGGAUAAAGGAAUAAGGGAUGGAAUUGCUCUAUGGAUAAAGGAAUAAGGGAUGGAAUUGAGGCAGACGAAGAACUCCCUAAGCGCAACCAACACACAGGGCUCAGGCUCGCUAACGCCAUGAACGAAUAAUUAUGGAAUCUAUAAGCUGGUAAUUAUGGAAUCAGAGGUGCAAUUCUAUUCUGACUUCUUUGAGAGUAGAGAUCGGGCUAGAGUAGAGAGGUCGGUCAAGCUGUUGCUAGAAGAUAUCACCACGGAGGGGGCAAACUCCCUUACUAAACUAAGACCAGAGUAUACCCGACGAAACGACUAAACAAGCGACGGCGUAAGACAUUGUUUGUUGGACUCGCUCAACACUCCUUCGUUAGGGCAACGCUCAAUUCACACUAUGGACUUUCGAGUCGAGCACUUGGCAUAGAUGAAAGAAAGUCAAGAUACUGCUUACCUUUGAUUGGGCUUCUAAACUGUCACUGCUUACCUUUUUGAUUGAACUAGUUGCGCUAACAUGAGCUCUUUUUUGACAUGUUUGUUGCGUUGCUAAAAGCUAAUUCUCUUUAUUGGCAUACUCAUCCUAACCCGCCUAUUACUUAGGAAAUUCCUAACCAGCCUAUUACUUAGGAAUUGAGAUCUUGCAACUUUACUUGCUCAUAACUAACUAACGUUUCUUGGUACUUCAGUAUUAGAGGUCAAAGUUGGAUUCCCUAGUUCCGGAUUCGUUUUUUGACUUAUUAGUGGAAUUGCUAUUUUCUCAUUAUAGUCGUUGUAGGCAUUCAUCGUAGUUGGGGCACUUUUUCAUUCUUUCAGUACAGCAGCUAAGUCUUAUGAUCAGUAUUUGCAUUCUUUUACUUAUUU
rnacentral:lncRNA from 1 species